rnacentral:rRNA from 1 species
AUUGAACGCUGGCGGCAGGCUUAACACAUGCAAGUCGAGCGGGGGAAGGUAGCUUGCUACCGGACCUAGCGGCGGACGGGUGAGUAAUGCUUAGGAAUCUGCCUAUUAGUGGGGGACAACAUCUCGAAAGGGAUGCUAAUACCGCAUACGUCCUACGGGAGAAAGCAGGGGAUCUUCGGACCUUGCGCUAAUAGAUGAGCCUAAGUCGGGUUAGCUAGUUGGUGGGGUAAAGGCCUACCAAGGCGACGAUCUGUAGCGGGUCUGAGAGGAUGAUCCGCCACACUGGGACUGGGACACGGCACAGAGUCCUACGGGAGGCAGCAGUGGGGAAUAGUGGACAAUGGGGGGACCCCUGAUCCAGCCAUGCCGCGUGUGUGAAGAAGGCCUUAUGGUUGUAAAGCACUUUAAGCGAGGAGGAGGCUACUUUAGUUAAUACCUAGAGAUAGUGGACGUUACUCGCAGAAUAAGCACCGGCUAACUCUGUGCCAGCCGCCGCCGUAA